rfam:Glossina fuscipes fuscipes unplaced genomic scaffold Scaffold959, whole genome shotgun sequence.
GGAGGUAGUUUUUAGUAAGUAUGCGUCAGGGAUGGCGAAUCGUGCAUGCUGCUAUCUUCAUAAGACCCAGCAGUAUCUUUUGAAGAUUUUCUACCUCC